AGGUUCUGGGAGGCUGAGGAAAGGAGUGGAUGUGAGGAGUCGCGUGGGAGAGUGGGAGGCGCGGGGCUGCAGGGGCAUUCGCUUCCAGCCUACGUGGGUCCCCCUGAGGAUGCCGGGGUCACAGUGCACAAAGCCGCCCUCUCCCAACACCUCCAGCGGUCCAGGAGAGGCGGCAGAGUGCAGGAGGGAUGCGAGGGUGAGGGGCUGAACCAGGGGCCAGGGCCUUGAGGGCGUCUCCAAGGCAGCGCUUUAAGGAAAGGGCCAUGGAGUUCCAGCUGCGGCAGGACAGGAAGCCGCCGACGGAGGUGAGAUCGGUGGCCUGAAGUGAGGCCGGGUACCGAGGGCAUCAGGGUGGGGGAUUCAGAAAGCGGAAGAAGCUGGAGGUGAGCAGGACCCGGGCGCCGCGAGCGUCUCGGUGACCACUGUGAGCCGAUGAGGUCCACAGGGCCAGGGCCUGGCCCAGGGUGGCCCCAAAGCUGCGAGCAGGAGGAAGAAGGAAGGGCGGGGUCCGGAGCCCUCUCACCUCCCGCCUCGAGCUUGGUGCAGGCAGCGGAGAGCCCGGCCGGGAAGCCUUCCCGCCGUGGUUACUGACUCGUUUGCACAAGGACUUUUUAGGGAAGAGAGAAGCCAGGCCUACACGGUGGGCCCAGGCCCUCACACCCGCAAGCUCUCGCCCAUGGGGCCCUCGUCGGGAACGCCCUCUCGACUCCCGCUGGGUUCACUCUUUCGCAUUUUGCACGACUCAGCUUCCUGGAAAUGGGUUCAUUCACUGGUCGAUUCAGAGGGACACUAGAAACGCGGUGCCCAGAUCUAAGACAUCCUGGCCUUUUGGAGAGGGGUAAAAAAGUACCCGCCAGAAGCCCAGUGCCUCCGGAGAGGUGGGCUUCGCAAGCAGGGACAGCUUCUGGGCCCCGGGGGCGCGCACGCCCGCUCUGGGCUUGGCCGGCAGAGGGCGCUGCGGGGCGGCCCUGGAACUGCCCGGGGAGAGCGCCAGGGGUCCCAGCCCAGCCUGUCUGCCGCGCUCCGCUCGGGCCGCGCCCUCCUCCGAGCUGCCUCUUCUGCCCGACCCUGCGGCCCCAUUCAACAAUGGCACAGCGCGCUCCUUCCAGGGGCGGAAGCUCCCAGAGCCCUCACGUUUGCUUCUGUCUGGAGUAGCGGCAGAAUUUCGAUAAUUUGUGUCUUUGACGGAGACUGGGAAGGUAGCCUGGCCACCGCGCAGGAGAGCUGCGGGGGGUCCAGGAGGGGAGCUCCGAGUGGGAGCAGUCUGCCCAGGCUGCGCAGCGCGUGGCGGCUGUCACAGGACGCGGGCGGGGACCCUGCAUCCGGAGUCAGGGGUCCUGGCAGCUGCGGGAAAGGGAGGCAGCUCUGCCUCCACGGUUCCGCAGAGGGCCACUGUCUGCCUGGAUCUUUCAUCAGGUCCCAGGCAGCGGGUGAGCUCUCUACUCUGCUUCACUCCUUGGGGCAGAAGUGUGGCUGCUGAUCCUGGAGUACGGAAGAAGAAAGCGUUUGUGUGAUUAAAAAUCUUUUUAUAGUGGUAAAAUACACAUCACAUGGAAUGUACCAUGUUAACCAUUUUUAAGCGUACAGUUCAGUGGCAUUAAGUUCAUUGAACAUUGCUGUGCAAUCAUCACCACCAUUUAUCCACAGAAGUCUUUUCAUCUUGAAAAUCUGAAACUGUACCCAUUAAACAAUUCCCCAUUCCUCCUCCCCCCAAGCCCUGGCAACCUCCAUUCUACUUUGUCUCCAGGAAUUGGACUACCCUAGGCAUCUCAUGUAAGUGGAAUGAAACAGCAUCUGUCCUUUUGUGACUGGCUUAUUUCAGGUAACAUAACGACCUCAAGGUUUAUCCAUGUAGCAGCAUGUGUCAGAAUGACCCUCCUUUUUAAGGCUGAAUAAUAUUCCAUUGCAUGUCUAUAUCACAGUUUGCUUAUCUGUUCAUGCAUCGAUGGACACUGGGUUGUUUCUACCUCUUGGGUGUUGUGAACGAUGCUACCAUGAACACAGGCGUAUAAAUGUCUGCUUGAAAUCCUGCUUUCAGUUAUUUUGUAUAUAUGCCUAGAAAUGGAGUUGAGUUGCUGGAUCAGACGGUAAUUCUGUGUUUAAUAUUUUGAGGAACCACCAUACUGUUUUCCAUAGUGACAGUUGCAUGAUUUUUAAGAGUGGCUUACUUUCAUCACAUUUUUUAAGGUAAUAUUUUGGACCAAAUGGUUAAUAAGACUGGUGACGAGGUGCAAGACUCUGGGACAAUGGCCAAAAGGUGAUGUUCUUUUUUGCUCUUCUGUCUGUCCCCAGCCCAUGCCCCUGCUGACAGCCCCGGGCUUGCCAUCCAUCAUCUGGAAGCUAGGAGGGGCUGAGUAACCCAGCACUCUGGAGCCGGGUGCACCAUUUCUUAUAGUGUCUUAUGAGGAUGCAGAAGAAAUGGCUACAGAGCAGCUGCUGAAGGAGGAGGAGGGCUCAUAAACUGCUAGAAUUUUGGAGGGCUUCAGCCCCUUGAGUCCUGGGACAGAUAAGGGAACAAAGACUGCUGCGAGGAGAAGAAUGUGGAAGAAGAGAACUCCGAGGACACAGAGCCCCAAAGGACGAGCUUGCCAUUCUGGAGAGGAAUGGCAUCAGGGACCCAGGCUGCACAUGGGGACUGAGCACCGCCUGUGUGACCUUCCUGUUCUUCUGUGACAAAGGUGGUGCUGCCCAGCAGAGUGGAAGAAGCAUGUGCUUUGCGAUGAACUCACCUAGCAGACAGCAGCUUUGGAAUGUCCAGCAGACACAGUCAAGACGGAACUCGCUUCCUUCCUGCAGCUUGCUCCUCCAGCCACUUCCAAGUCUUCACUGGUGACGCCACCUUUUGCUCCCUCACAGGGGGUCAUGCUGAAUGCCUCAGCUCCUUAGCCCCCAUUAUGGAAGCCUUUGGAAUUCACUCUCCUUUAAUGGGUCUCCUAUUUCCCCAGUCCUCAUUUAUAUUGGCACUUCCUUAGUUUAAUUCUUUAAGAUCUUGGUCUUUGCAGGAGUUAUUUCCUCUUUCUGCACUGCCUUUCUCUUAUCUUCCCAGCAAAUCCCACCUGGUCCUCUCCUCCCCCAUCCCUGCUCAACGUCCUUUCCUGGGUGAAACCUUCCUGGACUCCUCUCACCCAACACAUAGCACAUGGGUUCUGUCUGGCGAGUCUCCCAGCAGCAGGAGCCAUCAUCUCUCCAAUGGCUUCUGCUCAUAACACCCCUGCUGGCACCCACAGGUGUUUAUGGAAUUAACUCAGUGUCUAGGAAAAUAUGCAUUUAUUUCAAAAAAUAUGCAGUGUAACAAAAAUUAGAUUCAACAAAACAUUGCUAUGAAUUUUGGCCUGUGAUGGUGCCAUACACAGUAAUGUUAUCAGAACCUCCGUCAUUGGUCAAGGCUGAGGUGGAAGCUCUGUUUUGAUCAGCAUCUUAGACCACCAGUGAUACGUCUACCUGAACAGACUGAGGAAAAGACUUUCACACACUGAAGUCCAUAUUCUUUCUGCUGGAUGAGAAUCCAGGUAGCCACAGGCCUCUUUCUGGAAGGGGUGUGCAGUGGUGGGUGGUGAGGCAGCAUCCUGACCCAGAGACCAGUUGGUUGCCCUACACUCUGACAGGGAGGUGGGACCCUGGCCACGUGAAUCGCAUGCCAUGACCCCAGGCCCCCCCAGCCCCACUUGGCUCAUGCUCCUGACACCACUUCCCUCCUCUGUGCUUUCAACCUGCAGGAAGCUUCCUGCCACCCACUGGUCACUGUGAGCUUAGUUUUCAGAGAGUCAGCCUUUUGGUGGCAAGCAGAGGGGCUGAGAGGACAGGAGAGCCUGUUCCCUGCAUUUGUGGCUGCCUCUGCCUGGGACCCACACUCCUGGGGCCCUGGACUUGCCCUUCACCUUCCUCUCAUUCUUGCCCCUGGUGUCCCCUCAGCUGCUCCCUGGGUUUUAUCCUUGGUACUUGACAUAGUUUGGCUCUGUUCACACGCACAUCUCAUCUUGAAUUCCCACAUGUUGUGGGAGGGAACUGGUGGGAAGAAAUUGAAUCAUGAGGGGAGGUCUUUCGCAUGCUGUUCUCAUGAAAGUAAGUCUCAUGAGAUCUGAUUGUAUUAUAAGGGGAAUUUCCUUGCCCAAUUUCUCCCUCUUUGCCUGCUGCCAUCCAUGGAAGACGUGAUUUGCUUCUCCUUGCCUUCUGCCAUGAUUGUGAGGCUUCCUCUGCUAUCUGGAACUGUAAGUCCAAUAAACCUCUUUUUUUUCUAAAUUG